UAAGCAAGUUUGUGCUUACGUGCUGAAUUUCUAUCGGAACAAAUUUUUGUAAUGCAGUUUUUUUUGGGGGGAUUGAAAGAAAUAUUUUUCUAACGUGUUUAGGUGUUACAAAGACGGCAAAUCAGGAAGGAAUAACGUCUAAAUAGAAUGGUUGGCUAGACAAUGUUACGUAAAUGGGAUAACCUGGUUGUUAGGUUUUAUUCGUUGAUCUAAACCGGGAAUUUGGUGUGCGUACAGUAGAAUCAAGGUGAUCUACAAUCUAUCUAUAACCAAAAAUACGCAUCAGUCUGUUAUACUUUAUUGGGUCAUCCAUACGGAUACUGCUCAGAAGUCGAACAAAACUGUUUGUUUGCACAUGGAACAUGUGGGCAACUGUAAGCAAUUCUGAUACCCGGAACAGAUCGAAGUAUGCGCGUUUUUAUAAUCAAAUUAAAACAUUGUUUCACUCGAACAUAACUAUUGACCUCUUUUUCUCGUUUUGGAUGUAGGAUUAGAAUCUCAUUCCAGCAUUUUUGUUAUUAUUGCACAAUAUUGAUACAUACUUCAAAUGUAACAAAUGCAAUUUCAUCAUCUUAUUCGGAAAUGGGACAGUUAAAGGAUGCGGGUUUAUUGAAUUUCAAGGAUUUUGUCAAAUUGUAGAAAGAUUUCGUGUCACUUCAAUUUCGAGGAGGUAAUUGUGUAAGACAAAACAUAGCAGACUAAAAUAGAUUAACACAUAUUAGGCAAUUUUUAUUUCGUGAAAUUGCAGGUAUAGAGUGGUAGUCCUUUAGUUAGCCAAGCCAGAUAAAAAUGGUUAAAAGAUUUGGAAAAAUCAAACGUGAGUUUUUUUUUUCCUGAAAUACCAUUUUGCUAUAGUGAUAGCAGGGAUACCACGCAAUCUGAAAUCUGUGUUUCAGUCAAAAAUCUUUCGACCAUCUUUGAUGCCUAAGACGGUACAAAAAUUUAUGUGAAAUGUCCAAAAAUCUAUGAAAAAUCGAAAUAUUUCCAAAUCCUUGUAGAAAUCUGCAUAAGUUUUAUCAAAAUGCCAAAAUUCUUUCGGUCUACCUGAGAAAGUUAGACGAAAUUCUUUAGAUUUAUGAUAUUUUUUACGAGCAUGGAGAAAAUUAUUGAUGUUCAAGAAGAUAAAAUUGAUGCGAACUUUUUUUCUUUGAUUAUAUGACUUGGACUUUUAAAUGGGAUGAACGCUAUCUCUGACGCAUUAAUAGCUCUGAGUAGCCGGCUGCCGAGAAUGGUUUAUAUAUUUCCCAACUUUUUUGUGGUGUUUAUUUAAUGAAAUUUAGGACUGGUGAUAUCCAACGGGGAAAAACGAUCGCAAAUGGUGAGUGAAGCUAAGCAAUCAUGUGAAAAAAAUUCCCCCCCGAGGCGAGAUUCGAACUCGCAACCUUUGAGACUCCGGCCCAAUGCACUAACCCUUAUGCUAUCCCUGGGUAUGGUGACAUCCAAGAGAGAACAUAUGAUUAUCCCACUGGCGACGGUGAUCGUACCCUGCCGGUAGAGCGAGAAUCACACACAACGACAGCUGAUCACCCCAACACAUUUGAACAAUUUAAUUUCCCCGCUAGAUACCAAGGCCCGGGUUUUUAUCAUCGUCUGAUGUCUAAUUUUUAGUUCAUUACCCAUCGUACCUCGGUGGGUGACAGAGCUAAGGAAGACUGUCGAUUUCUGGUCCCUUGCCCAGUGAACAGAGGUAUGACACCAUACCCAGGGAUAGCAUAAGGGUUAGUGCAUUGGGUCGGAGUCUCAAAGGUUGCGAGUUCGAAUCUCGCCUCGGGGAGGGGGAAUUUUUUCACAUGAUUGCUUAGCUUCACUCACCAUUUCCGAUCGUUUUCCCCGUUGGAUACCACCAGUCCUAAAUAAGGUAUUGGCACUUAAGUCAAAAGACCAAAAAUUGAAUUAUUAGUCUAAUGAAAUUGCUAACCAUAAAGUAUAUACUAGAGAGGACGUGCUAAUACCUCACCUACUUAACGGAAGGACGAUGAUACAUCAAACGAUUCUAUGGAUUUCGCGUAUUGAAAGAUUUGGAAAGUAUUAGAUUUAGGAUUAGCUUCGAGCUAGUGAUGCUACCAAAAAAGCGUCUAGUAGAGUUUAUUGAUUAGUGAUUGAGAUACAUUGCCACGCGGAAAUCCAAAAUUUACCAGCCUAUUUCGGACAACACUAUCAAUAUGGAGUACCAACAAAACACUAUAGUUUAGUAAAAUUUUAAAUACAAGUUCACUGUAGAUUUAUCUGUAAUAAAUCAGCAUGUCCUCCUCAGUCAGACGUUUAAAAUGACGGAGCGAGAAUUGUUUCCUGAAAUACCUGUGUAAAAAUUUAAAAGAAAAUACGUUGAAAAUCACCAUCGCAUACAGGUUAGCAUGCAUGAAUCGCCAUUGUAUCUAAGUUUGCACGCAACGCUCGUAUAGCGUUUGCUGGCCGAUCGUAGCGCCGACUAGUGGCAAAUUGCUACUUGCUGAUAGCAUAUCAAAACCACAAGUUUAUACCUUACAUUGAAAACUUUACUUGUUUGUCAGUUCUCAGUGAUAUGCACUAGAAAA